GUUCCUUACUGUUGCUGUGACCUGCAAAAUAACAAAGGAAGUUACUUGAAGUCUCUCAUCCUGAGAUGUUUCCCAAUAAAGAAAUAUAGAGGAGUCAUCCUUAGAUUUUAAAAGGUUUUGCCUGCCGUUGAACUACUUGGACUUCCAAAUCAUGGGCCCAUUGCAAGAAAAAAAAAGUGAUUACAGAAAAUAAUAUGCUUGAAAGUCAAAGACAGGUGAGCUCAGGGGACUUUAUUGAUGGUAACCGACAAGGUGAGCCCAAGCCUUCUCCAUGGUGGUGAAGAAACUGGUGGCGUCCACUAUGUACUCAGUACCAGCAUCACCUCAUUUGAUUUUGGUGGGAUCUCUAUCCUGGAAGAUGAUGAUGGCAAUUCCAUUGAUGACAAGCUUCCCGUUCUCAGCCUUGAUGCUGCCAUGGCAUUUGCCACGGGUAGAAUCAUACUGGAACAUGUAGACCAUGUAGUAGAGGUCAAUGAGGGAGUCAUUGAUGGCGACAGUAUUCACUUUACCAGAGUUAAAAGCAGUGCUGAUGACCAGGUGCCCAAUAUGGCCAAAUCCAUUGACUUGGGCCUUUACUUCCACCAUAGUGUGUCAGGGAUGCCAAUGGCGCUGCAUGAGAAGAUGCAGCUGUCUGUCGAACUGGAGGAGCAGAGAGCCUAUAAUUUUCAUGUUGAACUAUUUUAUGUUAAUUUUAUUAAGUUAUGCUAG
ensembl:lincRNA